UGGGGAAUAUUGCACAAUGGGCGCAAGCCUGAUGCAGCCAUGCCGCGUGUGUGAAGAAGGCCUUCGGGUUGUAAAGCACUUUCAGCGAGGAGGAAGGGUAGUGUGUUAAUAGCACAUUGCAUUGACGUUACUCGCAGAAGAAGAACCGGCUAACUCCGUGCCAGCAGCCGCGGUAAUACGGAGGGUGCAAGCGUUAAUCGGAAUUACUGGGCGUAAAGCGCACGCAGGCGGUUUGUUAAGUCAGAUGUGAAAUCCCCGCGCUUAACGUGGGAACUGCAUUUGAAACUGGCAAGCUAGAGUCUUGUAGAGGGGGGUAGAAUUCCAGGUGUAGCGGUGAAAUGCGUAGAGAUCUGGAGGAAUACCGGUGGCGAAGGCGGCCCCCUGGACAAAGACUGACGCUCAGGUGCGAAAGCGUGGGGAGCAAACA
rnacentral:rRNA from 1 species